rnacentral:rRNA from 1 species
UGGGGGAUAUUGCACAAUGGGCGAAAGCCUGAUGCAGCGACGCCGCGUGGGGGAUGAAGGCUUUCGGGUUGUAAACCUCUUUCGCUAUCGAACAAGGCCCGCUUAGGGUGGGUUGAGGGUAGGUGGAGAAGAAGCGCCGGCUAACUACGUGUCAGCAGCCGCGGUAAUACGUAGGGCGCGAGCGUUGUCCGGAAUUAUUGGGCGUAAAGGGCUUGUAGGCGGCUUGUUGCGCCUGCUGUGAAAACGAGGGGCUUAACUUCGCGCGUGCAGUGGGUACGGGCAGGCUUGAGUGUGGUAGGGGUGACUGGAAUUCCAGGUGUAGCGGUGGAAUGCGCAGAUAUCUGGAGGAACGCCGAUGGCGAAGGCAGGUCACUGGGCCAUUACUGACGCUGAGGAGCGAGAGCAUGGGUAGCGAACAGG